UACGGAGGGAGCUAGCGUUAUUCGGAAUUACUGGGCGUAAAGCGCACGUAGGCGGCUUUGUAAGUUUAGAGGUGAAAGCCUGGAGCUCAACUCCAGAAUAGCCCUUUAAGACUGCAUCGCUUGAAUCCAGGAGAGGUGAGUGGAAUUCCGGAGUGUAGAGGUGAAAUUCGUAGAUAUUCGCAAGAACACCAGUGGCGAAGGCGGCUCACUGGCCCGGUACUGACGCUGACGGUGCGAAAGCGUGGGGAGCAACAGG
rnacentral:rRNA from 1 species